ACCGGUCUAGUUGAGUGGGUACAACGCAAUGAUGUUAACCCUCUGUGGUCGUGGGUUAGAUUCCCACGGUGGGUG
rnacentral:tRNA from 1 species